rnacentral:rRNA from 1 species
CAGCAGCCACGGGAAUACGUAGGUGGCAAGCGUUGUCCGGAAUUAUUGGGCGUAAAGGGCUCGCAGGCGGUUUCUUAAGUCUGAUGUGAAAGCCCCCGGCUCAACCGGGGAGGGUCAUUGGAAACUGGGAAACUUGAGUGCAGAAGAGGAGAGUGGGAUUCCACGUGUAGCGGUGAAAUGCGUAGAGAUGUGGAGGAACACCAGUGGCGAAGGCGACUCUCUGGUCUGUAACUGACGCUGAGGAGCGAAAGCGUGGGGAGCGAACAGGAUUAGAUACCCCAGUAGUCCCUGUCUCUUAUAU